CCCCGUCUGCCUGCACUCAGGGGUCACGGGGAGCCCCGGAACUGCUCAUACCUGGGGCUGACCAUGAAGCAGCCCCGGGGAGUCGCCAAGCCACCACUUCUUCUGAGGGACCUGGUCCAGCCCCGCCCUCCCGCCACUGGCCUGCCCAGCCCUGCUCACGGGGACCUCACUUGUUACCUGUCACUGGGGAGGCAGCCUGGCCCACGCGAUGUCACUGCUGGGGGCCGUCAUCCUCUCGUCCCUCUGGGCCUUUGGCCUUGGGCAGCGGAUGUUGGAACAACCUGAAAUCUCAAUUUCCAGAGCAAGAGGUAAGAGUGCACGCAUAUCAUGCAAGAUGUCCAAUGAGGCCGUGAAUACAGUCGUACACUGGUACCGGCAGAAACCUGAUCAGAGGAUAGAGCACCUAACAUACGUCUCAACAAGCCUUCUGAAUCCUUCAGGAACGGGCAGCAAGAAAUUUGAGGCAAGUACAAACGCUCAGACUUCUACUGCGACCUUGACAAUAAAUUUCUUAGAGGAAACAGACGAGGCCGUGUACUACUGUUGGGAGUGGUAUAGCGGGUAUUACUGGGCCCACAAAGUGUUCGGUCCUGGCACGCUGCUCAGGGUCACAGAUAGAAACUUUGAUGAAGACAUUUCCCCUAAGCCCACAAUUUUUCUUCCUUCAAUGGCUGAAAUGAAAUUCCACAAGUCUGGAACAUAUCUUUGUCUUCUUGAGAAUUUUUUCCCUGAUGUUAUCAAGAUAGACUGGAAAGAAAAGAAUGGCAACAGAAUUCUGAUAUCCCAGCAGGGAAACACCAUAAAGACUAAGGACACAUACAUGACAUACACCUGGAUGACCCGCACUAAAAGGUCAACAGCUAAAGAACACAAAUGUAUCGUCAAACAUGAGAAUAAUAAAGGAAAGGUUGAUCAAGAGAUUCUUUUUCGUUCAAUGAAAAAAGAGCUCGCUGCCAUUAAGUCUAUAGAAGCUUCUCUGAAAGAUGAAAAUGACCCCCUGCAGCUGCAGCUCGUGAGCACCUCUGCCUACUACACCUACGUCCUCCUCCUGGCCAAGAGCGUGGUCUACUCCAUCCUCAUCGCCAUCUGUCCGCUUGUGAGACCAGCACUCUGUGACAACUGGGCGUUCCUAAUACAUGGUGGCACACGUAUCUAGUGGGGCUUUCUGCCUGGGUUUGGGUCAUUUCAGUUCACAGGCGUCUUCUAUUGUGUUGCUAUUGCAGAACGGGUUUACAAACCACUGGGCAAAUGGGAGUGGGUCACUCUGCACCAAGAAC